UGAGGGUCUCCCCCAGAUCUCAGCGCCAUCUUGUUACACAAGGUAGUUAGUCGAGGUUAUAAGGAGGGAGGGGUUAGAAACUUCUAGCAGCCAUUUUGUCUAAAUAUGCGUGAAUAGCUUAUCUACUGAUUUCAGUGCAAUGGGUAAAUAGACAUUUUACUAACUACAAAGAUAUAUGUGUAUAUAUUCAUAUUUUAUUUCCACAACAGUCCCCCCUUAAAAUGGAUAUUUACCAUAACAACUGC